GCUAUAGUAGUUUAAUUAAAAAUAUUAAUUUUGUAAAUUAAUGAUAAAUUUAUUUUUAUAGCU
rnacentral:tRNA from 1 species